rnacentral:rRNA from 1 species
UAGGCUGCAACCCGCCUGCGUGAAGUUGGAAUUGCUAGUAAUCGCGGAUCAGCAUGCCGCGGUGAAUACGUUCCCGGGCCUUGUACACACCGCCCGUCACACCAUGGAAGUCGGUAAUGCCCGAAGUCAGUAGCCUAACCGCAAGGAGGGCGCUGCCGAAGGCAGGAUUGAUGACUGGGGUGAAGUCGUAACAAGGUAUC